rnacentral:rRNA from 1 species
UACGUAGGGAGCAAGCGUUGGUCCGGAAUCAUUGGGCGUAAAGCGCGCGUAGGCGGCCCUGUAAGUCCGUUGUGAAAGUCAAAGGCUCAACCUUUGAAAGCCGAUGGAUACUGCAGGGCUAGAGUCCGGAAGAGGCGAGUGGAAUUCCUGGUGUAGCGGUUGGAAUGCGCAGAUAUCAGGAGGAACACCAGUAGCGAAGGCAGCUCGCUGGGACG